CCCUUAACUAUUAAAAGUUUCGUUUUGAUCCCUUAAUUUAUUUUUUGGUUUCGUUUUGGUCCCUUAACUCUUCCUCGUCAACCACUUUGGUCCUUUAUGUUAGGAUGAAUGUAUUAGAGUUAAAGACCAAAACAAAAUCAAAAAAUAAGUUAAGUGACCAAAACGAAACCAAAAAAUAAGUUAAGGGAUCAAAACGAAACUUUUAAUAGUUAAGGGACCAAAACAAAACCAAAAAAUAAUUUAAGGGACCAAAACAAAACUUUUAAUAGUUAAGGGA
rnacentral:pre_miRNA from 1 species